UACGGAGGGUGCGAGCGUUGUCCGGAAUCACUGGGCGUAAAGGGCGCGUAGGUGGCCCGUGGAAGUCUGCGGUGAAAGCCCGGCGCUCAACGCCGGGUCGGCCGUGGAUACUCUCGGGCUUGAGCUUACUAGAGGCAGAUGGAAUUCCGGGUGUAGCGGUGGAAUGCGUAGAGAUCCGGAAGAACACCGGUGGCGAAGGCGGUCUGCUGGGGUAAUGCUGGACACUGAUGCGCGACAGCGUGGGGAGCAACAGGG
rnacentral:rRNA from 1 species